rnacentral:rRNA from 1 species
UACGUAGGGUGCGAGCGUUAAUCGGAAUUACUGGGCGUAAAGCGUGCGCAGGCGGCGCGUUAAGACAGGUGUGAAAGCCCCCGAGCUUAACUUGGGAAUUGCGCUUGUGACUGGCGUGCUGGAGUGUGGCAGAGGGAGGUGGAAUUCCACGUGUAGCAGUGAAAUGCGUAGAGAUGUGGAGGAACACCGAUGGCGAAGGCAGCCUCCUGGGCCAGCACUGACGCUCAUGUACGAAAGCGUGGGGAGCAAACAGG